UCCAUUUUUAUGAAGAUUGAAAGCUUAAUCAAGAGCAUGCAUACUCUGGUCUGUAGUAAAUCUCUCUCUCCCAUCGUAUUUUCCCAUCCUCUAUUUCUGUACAGACUUCUAUGUUGAGGUAAAUAGAUUUUUUCAUAAGAAACACGAAACAGAACCUUGUACUUUGGUAGCUCUUCCUACAAAAGCAAAGCUGCAUCAACAACACAAGGUAAGAGAACAUCAACAAAUAUGUAACAGGUACCUUCAAGGAAGUAAAUCAGAGCUAAAUAAACAUGGAUUGUGUGAGCUGUGCAUUUCUGCAAACAGAGAAAUUUGGUGCCAGGUUUCCAAAGCAUCACUCUCUUGGGCUGUUGUUAAGUGCUUCCAUUUGAAUAAUGCCAGUUUCUUUUACUCACAAAUAUUAAAUAUGAGAGUCUAGUCUUCCUCCAUCUCCUUGGUCACCCAUGUGGUGUUGUUUGCUUGAUAAAUUGCUUUUGUUUUGUAUUUCUUCAUUUAUAAGUGUCAUUAUCCAGCACUGCUUUACAAGGACUGGUCCUCAAGAAGCUGGCUUUCUGGGUCAAUGUUGGCUUUCUUCGUGAUACUAUUGAACCCAAGAAUAUCCUACCAGUAGAUAGGACAAUCACACUGGAUGUGACAGAGAUAACAUGCCUGGCCCUAAAGAUGGAUGCAGAGGGUCACCACUCAGAAGAUAAGCAAGGAAUGUUGACUUAUGAGGGAGACCCAGAAUUUGCAGCAUGGACGUUAGAACCAGGAGACCGCAAUUUAAAAAGAGUUGCUGAGGACAGAACAACAGUCUCUCGAGCCAGAGGCACAUUUCACUCCCUAGGACACGUGAAUACUUCACACAGCCUAGAAACUUGCAGGUGUGACUAAUUGAAGGAGAGAGGCCCUGUUUGCCCAGGUGGGUCCAGUGCAAUUAGAAUGCCACUAAUAAGGAGGUAA